UACGUAGGUGGCAAGCGUUGUCCGGAUUUAUUGGGUUUAAAGGGUGCGUAGGCGGCCUAUUAAGUCAGUGCUGAAAUAUCCCGGCUUAACCGGGAGGGUGGCAUUGAUACUGAUGGGCUUGAGUAAAGUUGAGGUUGGCGGAAUUGACGGUGUAGCGGUGAAAUGCUUAGAUAUCGUCAAGAACACCGAUAGUGAAGACAGCUAACUAAGCUUUAACUGACGCUGAGGCACGAAAGUGUGGGGAUCAAACAGG
rnacentral:rRNA from 1 species